rnacentral:rRNA from 1 species
AUGAACGCUAGCUACAGGCUUAACACAUGCAAGUCGAGGGGCAGCAUGGUCUUAGCUUGCUAAGGCCGAUGGCGACCGGCGCACGGGUGAGUAACACGUAUCCGACCUGCCGUCUACUCUUGGACAGCCUUCUGAAAGGAAGAUUAAUACAAGAUGGCAUCAUGAGUCCGCAUGUUCACAUGAUUAAAGGUAUUCCGGUAGACGAUGGGGAUGCGUUCCAUUAGAUAGUAGGCGGGGUAACGGCCCACCUAGUCUUCGAUGGAUAGGGGUUCUGAGAGGAAGGUCCCCCACAUUGGAACUGAGACACGGUCCAAACUCCUACGGGAGGCAGCAGUGAGGAAUAUUGGUCAAUGGGCGAGAGCCUGAACCAGCCAAGUAGCGUGAAGGAUGACUGCCCUAUGGGUUGUAAACUUCUUUUAUAAAGGAAUAAAGUCGGGUAUGGAUACCCGUUUGCAUGUACUUUAUGAAUAAGGAUCGGCUAACUCCGUGCCAGCAGCCGCGGUAAUACGGAGGAUCCGAGCGUUAUCCGGAUUUAUUGGGUUUAAAGGGAGCGUAGAUGGAUGUUUAAGUCAGUUGUGAAAGUUUGCGGCUCAACCGUAAAAUUGCAGUUGAUACUGGAUAUCUUGAGUGCAGUUGAGGCAGGCGGAAUUCGUGGUGUAGCGGUGAAAUGCUUAGAUAUCACGAAGAACUCCGAUUGCGAAGGCAGCCUGCUAAGCUGCAACUGACAUUGAGGCUCGAAAGUGUGGGUAUCAAACAGGAUUAGAUACCCUGGUAGUCCACACGGUAAACGAUGAAUACUCGCUGUUUGCGAUAUACUGCAAGCGGCCAAGCGAAAGCGUUAAGUAUUCCACCUGGGGAGUACGCCGGCAACGGUGAAACUCAAAGGAAUUGACGGGGGCCCGCACAAGCGGAGGAACAUGUGGUUUAAUUCGAUGAUACGCGAGGAACCUUACCCGGGCUUAAAUUGCAGAUGAAUUACGGUGAAAGCCGUAAGCCGCAAGGCAUCUGUGAAGGUGCUGCAUGGUUGUCGUCAGCUCGUGCCGUGAGGUGUCGGCUUAAGUGCCAUAACGAGCGCAACCCUUGUUGUCAGUUACUAACAGGUUCCGCUGAGGACUCUGACAAGACUGCCAUCGUAAGAUGUGAGGAAGGUGGGGAUGACGUCAAAUCAGCACGGCCCUUACGUCCGGGGCUACACACGUGUUACAAUGGGGGGUACAGAGGGCCGCUACCACGCGAGUGGAUGCCAAUCCCCAAAACCUCUCUCAGUUCGGACUGGAGUCUGCAACCCGACUCCACGAAGCUGGAUUCGCUAGUAAUCGCGCAUCAGCCACGGCGCGGUGAAUACGUUCCCGGGCCUUGUACACACCGCCCGUCAAGCCAUGGGAGCCGGGGGUACCUGAAGUGCGUAACCGCGAGGAGCGCCCUAGGGUAAAACUGGUGACUGGGGCUAA